rfam:Aedes albopictus isolate Foshan contig64068, whole genome shotgun sequence.
CAAAUGGUCCUUUUAAGGACCCCAAUUCCAAAUGGAAAAGAGUUU